GGGCUGGGCCAGAACAUUAAGGGAAGGAGCCUCAACAGGGCCAAGGAACAGCCUGACGCAGGCAGGAGAGUGCUCAGAGGUUCCGCCUAGCUGCACAUACUGGCACCGGGACAGGGGCCGAGCGGGAGCGGGGCCGGGGCAGGGUGGGGGAGGCGGGGACAGGGGGAGCGGGUCGGAUUCAGCAGCACUUCUGCAAAGGAUCUGAUGGGGUCCCUGGGAUGCUCCGUGGUGGGCAAGCCCACGUAAACCAUUGCGAACCAAGACGCUGGCUGCCAUGAAACACCCACUCAACGCCCGGGCACUGGGCUUGCCUCGUACAGGCAAUUUGUUCAGUCCUGGCCUCAGGACCAGACGCUGGGGCCAAAGCAGAUGCCCAUCAGACGGCCGCAGACGAUGAGAAUUACGUGGCACCACUCAGCUCACCAGCUGUGCACCUCCAGGGGCUUCCGUUGGGGCCUGGUUCUGACGUCUUUCUGAGAUCCAGCAGCGACCUGGCUUCGGGCCAGCCUCCCCUUAUCUGAAUCUGUACCUGCCCUCACACAAGCGGCAUGCGUGUGACAGUACCCAUUCCAUCUUCAUCAUGCCCAAGAGUUUCAGCUCUGGGUUCUCUUCUGAAGC
rnacentral:antisense_RNA from 1 species